GGAGAAUGACCUUUUGUUAUAGAAAGCCUAACAUUGCUGAAGGACCAUAAAGUACAUCAUGAAAUAAGAAAUUUCCCACAGAAGAUCCACCCAAUAUUCCAGAAGGGUUCCUUCAAGAAGAACUGUCUAUCGCUUUGUCUGCCUGAGUCUCAUCUUGCAUACAUCACAGAAGUCUUACUUUAAUGCCUCAUCAUGUAAUUUUGCAAAUAAUAUAAACAAUGAGCAAAACUUUGAAUACUAUUUUGCUUCUAAUUUAUAUGUAAAAAAAAGCAUUGGUAAUAUUGACUAGCACAAAAAGGCCAAAAGGUUAUCAUUUUGAGGACCAGGUAGAGUAAUAAGUGAAGGGUAUAUUCUUUUUAGUAGUUUCAUCAGUAACACUAAGAAAAUAAAAUAGACAGAAAUU
rnacentral:lncRNA from 1 species